rnacentral:sRNA from 1 species
GCUGGGCGAGGUGGCCAACGCUUGUAAUCCCAGCUACUCAGGAGGCUGAGGCAGGAGGAUCUCGAGUUCCAGGCCAGCCUGGGCACUUUAGGGAGAUCCUGUCUCAA